UACGUAGGUCCCGAGCGUUGUCCGGAUUUAUUGGGCGUAAAGCGAGCGCAGGUGGUUUAUUAAGUCUGGUGUAAAAGGCAGUGGCUCAACCAUUGUAUGCAUUGGAAACUGGUAGACUUGAGUGCAGGAGAGGAGAGUGGAAUUCCAUGUGUAGCGGUGAAAUGCGUAGAUAUAUGGAGGAACACCGGUGACGAAAGCGGCUCUCUGGCCUGUAACUGACACUGAGGCUCGAAAGCGUGGGGAGCAAACAGG
rnacentral:rRNA from 1 species